rnacentral:rRNA from 1 species
AUUGAACGCUGGCGGAAUGCUUUACACAUGCAAGUCGAACGGUAGAGGGGGCAACCCCUCGAGAGUGGCGAACGGGUGAGUAAUAUAUCGGAACGUGCCCAGUUGUGGGGGAUAACGUAGCGAAAGUUACGCUAAUACCGCAUACGAUCUAAGGAUGAAAGCGGGGGAUCGCAAGACCUCGCGCGAUUGGAGCGGCCGAUAUCAGAGUAGGUAGUUGGUGGAGUGAAGGCUCACCAAGCCAACGAUCUGUAGCUGGUCUGAGAGGACGACCAGCCACACUGGAACUGAGACACAGGCCGGACUCCUACGGGAGGAAGCAGUGGGGAAUUUUGGACAAUGGACGCAAGUCUGAUCCAGCCAUUCCGCGUGCAGGAUGAAGGCCCUCGGGUUGUAAACUGCUUUUGUACGGAACGAAAAGGUCUCUCUUAAUACGGGGGACUCAUGACGGUACCGUAAGAAUAAGCACCGGCUAACUUCGUGCCAGCAGCCGCAGUAA